rnacentral:rRNA from 1 species
AGAGUUUGAUCAUGGCUCAGGAUGAACGCUGGCGGCGUGCUUAACACAUGCAAGUCGAACGGGAAUUACUUUAUUGAAACUUCGGUCGAUUUAAUUUAAUUCUAGUGGCGGACGGGUGAGUAACGCGUGGGUAACCUGCCUUGUACAGGGGGAUAACAGUCAGAAAUGACUGCUAAUACCGCAUAAGCGCACAGGACCGCAUGUCCGGUGCGAAAAACUCCGGUGGUAUAAGAUGGACCCGCGUUGGAUUAGCUUGUUGGUGGGGUAACGGCCCACCAAGGCGACGAUCCAUAGCCGGCCUGAGAGGGUGAACGGCCACAUUGGGACUGAGACACGGCCCAGACUCCUACGGGAGGCAGCAGUGGGGAAUAUUGCACAAUGGGGGAAACCCUGAUGCAACGACGCCGCGUGAAGGAAGAAGUAUCUCGGUAUGUAAACUUCUAUCAGCAGGGAAGAAAAUGACGGUACCUGACUAAGAAGCCCUGGCUAACUACGUGCCAGCAGCCGCGGUAAUACGUAGGGGGCAAGCGUUAUCCGGAUUUACUGGGUGUAAAGGGAGCGUAGACGGGUGGACAAGUCUGAUGUGAAAGGCUGGGGCUCAACCCCGGGACUGCAUUGGAAACUGCCCGUCUUGAGUGCCGGAGAGGUAAGCGGAAUUCCUAGUGUAGCGGUGAAAUGCGUAGAUAUUAGGAGGAACACCAGUGGCGAAGGCGGCUUACUGGACGGUAACUGACGUUGAGGCUCGAAAGCGUGGGGAGCAAACAGGAUUAGAUACCCUGGUAGUCCACGCGGUAAACGAUGAAUGCUAGGUGUCGGGUGACAAAGUCAUUCGGUGCCGCCGCAAACGCAUUAAGCAUCCCACCUGGGGAGUACGCCGGCAACGGUGAAACUCAAAGGAAUUGACGGGGGCCCGCACAAGCGGAGGAACAUGUGGUUUAAUUCGAUGAUACGCGAGGAACCUUACCCGGGCUUGAAUUGCAGAGGAAGGAUUUGGAGACAAUGACGCCCUUCGGGGCCUCUGUGAAGGUGCUGCAUGGUUGUCGUCAGCUCGUGCCGUGAGGUGUCGGCUUAAGUGCCAUAACGAGCGCAACCCCUCUCCUUAGUUGCCAUCAGGUUAAGCUGGGCACUCUGGGGACACUGCCACCGUAAGGUGUGAGGAAGGUGGGGAUGACGUCAAAUCAGCACGGCCCUUACGUCCGGGGCUACACACGUGUUACAAUGGCAGGUACAGAGAGACGGUCCCUUGCAAAACGGAUCAAAUCCUUAAAGCCUGUCUCAGUUCGGACUGGGGUCUGCAACCCGACCCCACGAAGCUGGAUUCGCUAGUAAUCGCGCAUCAGCCAUGGCGCGGUGAAUACGUUCCCGGGCCUUGUACACACCGCCCGUCAAGCCAUGAAAGCCGGGGGCGCCUAAAGUCCGUGACCGUAAGGAGCGGCCUAGGGCGAAACUGGUAAUUGGGGCUAAGUCGUAACAAGGUA